rnacentral:rRNA from 1 species
AGUGAACGCUGGCGGUAGGCCUAACACAUGCAAGUCGAACGGCAGCACAGUAAGAGCUUGCUCUUACGGGUGGCGAGUGGCGGACGGGCGAGGAAUACAUCGGAAUCUACUUUUUCGUGGGGGAAAACGUAGGGAAACUUACGAUAAUACCGCAUACGACCUAAGGGUGAAAGCAGGGGAUCUUCGGACCUUGCGCGAUUGAAUGAGCCGAUGUCGGAUUAGCGAGUUGGCGGGGUAAAGGCCCACCAAGGCGACGAUCCGUAGCUGGUCUGAGAGGAUGAUCAGCCACACUGGAACUGAGACACGGUCCAGACUCCUACGGGAGGCAGCAGUGGGGAAUAUUGGACAAUGGGCGCAAGCCUGAUCCAGCCAUACCGCGUGGGUGAAGAAGGCCUUCGGGUUGUAAAGCCCUUUUGUUGGGAAAGAAAAGCAGCAGGUUAAUACCCCGCUGUUCUGACGGUACCCAAAGAAUAAGCACCGGCUAACUUCGUG